UGGCUCAGUGGUAGAGUGCUUGCCUUGCACGCAUGAGUCCCUGGGUUCAAUUCCUCAG
rnacentral:tRNA from 1 species